GCGUUUUAUGAGCCAUAUGGAAGUCUGAAGAGCUGCUCAGCUCUGACAGCUGUUUAAAUUAUCUGUGACACUGCAUCCCACCAUUAGCAGGGAUGAUGGAUUGUUGACAGUCUCCAUCAGAAAAGGCUGGAGUCCCAGUCCGUGGAGGAGCACUUACAGGGUCUUUCCUAAGUGCUGAGGCUCUGUGUAUGAAUGACAAGGAUACCUUCAGCCAGCUCAUUCUGGAUGAAUGAAUGAUUACACUAAGUGUCCUCCACAUUCCUCUGUGGGCUCACUUCAUGGACUCACUUUGCGUGCUUGUUAAAUGUGCUGUGUUGCUCCCAAGACCAUGUAAAGCCUACUGACCACUAACCUCCCUCACAGCAGAAACUAGACGUCAGGUUAAAAUGGGCAACUCCGACAGUCAGUACACCCUUCAAGGAUCUAAAAAUCAUAGCAAUACUAUUACUGGUGCUAAGCAAAUUCCUUGCUCCCUGAAAAUACGUGGCAUUCAUGCAAAAGAGGAAAAGUCAUUGCAUGGAUGGGGUCACGGAAGCAACGGAGCAGGUUACAAGUCCAGGUCCCUGGCCCGAAGCUGCCUUUCUCACUUUAAGAGUAACCAGCCUUACGCAUCGAGACUCGGUGGCCCCACAUGCAAGGUCU
rnacentral:lncRNA from 10 species